UUAAUACUUGGCGUCGAGCCGCUACCGCGUCUAUUGAUUAACUUUUUAAACACUUUGGCUGCUGUAACGGUAAAACAAAAAAGAGUGUGAAAAUUUUAAAGCAUGCAAUGUACCAAUUCUCUGCGGUAGUUGGGUCCUGACAUAACCAAAAAAAAUUUUUGAAACUUGUGAAUGACACUGUCGAAAUAAUUUUGUUUUUUAUUUUAAUCUUCAAUCAGUUCUCAUUUGUCCUCUGUGUAUGACUUUCGAAAAAACUGAAUGAAAGUGAAAUCAUAAAAAAAAUUAAUUUAUCGUUGAUUUCAAUAAGAUUCCUCCUAUACCCCAAUGGUUAAUGAAACAUUCGUCGAUUCAUCACCUUCUCAAAUUCCGCGUUAUAAGUGGACAGAAAUUGCAGAGGAAGAGUACAAAAGUCAUAUUAUCAAUUCUAUCCGCGAUGAGAUCAUUGAUUCGGCAAUGGAAGCUGUUUCCAAAAGUUAUUUCAUAAACAAGUCUGUCUCGUUCGUCGUGAAUUGUGCACACGUUUCGUGGUUACAAUUAUUCAAUGUGAGAUUACAUUUUGCUAUGAUGGAAUAAUCUACGAAAAAUACAUUCUUUACACAUUUUCUCGCCAGUAUUUUGCGUAGGAUAAUUAAGGGGGAGCGUGCCAAACGCGCGUAACUUUGCACAUAAUGUUUUUUACUUAUUCAUUGAGUUUUUACAAAGGAACUUGAAAAGUUCAAAUGUCAUCCAAAAUGCGAUCACCCUAAUAUUUAGUCACAUCGAUUCAUCGUGUGGUCGAGGAAAUCCAAAAAGGCAGUCAUUGAUUUAAGAUUAACCCUUUAACCCCACAAGAAGAGAUUUUACAAAUAUUAUUUUCUAUUUGAUUAUUCUCUCAGACAAAAAUAAAUAAAAAAUGUUUAAGGUAUUUUUUUUACUAGUUUUGUGGUUUCUUCUUCUAAUGGUGCAACUUCUAUCCCUAAAAAAUAUUCUUAUAAUGUAUUUUUCAAAAAUACAGUUUUCUAUCAAAAUUUGUUGUCAUUGUAAAUUUCUCAAGACUUUUAUGUAUGACUGGAAAGACUGGAAAGUGCUUCAAAAGUAUCCUUGAUGAUUGGAUUUUUGCAAUGUGUUGAUGAUUUUUUCUUUAACUAUGCCUGCAAAGUAGUGACAGAAAGUGGAACAAACUUUUUUCACUUUUUGAAUUACAUGAAAUCACAAUCGUUUUAUUCGUAUACAAACCUAAAUAUCUGCCAAACUGUUGAAUGAGUAAAUUUACUUGCUUGUUUCAUACAUUGAAUCCGUAUAAAUUUCACAAUCUUCCACAUACCCAUACUUCUUGGACGUUAGGACAAUAAAUCGUUACCUCGUGGACACCUUUCCAGGUUGUUGCGAAACACUCUAAAUAAUAGUCAUUAUUUUCUUUAUUCGACCAGUGGAUGGAUCUUGAAUGCAACUAUGAUGAUAAUUCAAUGGCAAUGAAAAGUCUCUGUGCCGAAGAUGGAAAGCGGCAGUAUGACCCAGUACCACCGGAUAAUUGGAUUUUUGGUACUGUAGAAAUACGCAAAAAAUCAGGUUCUGCAUCUGAACAAAACCAUUGCAUUGAAACCUGUGAGCAGGUUGAUGCCUCUUACAUUUUACCAAAACAUAUGAAGCAAUAAAUUCUUAUGAAACGCCAUAUAGAGAUUUAUUCAAAAACAAAUGAAAAAUUGAAUACCCAAACUAUGACCAUGAGCAAAGGGUAAUGUGCACAAAAAACGUGACGUUGCGGUGAAUCUUAAUGGAAUCAACACAUAAGUAAUAAAUUAUCACAUUUUUGAAGGAUAGCUCAAUGAAUGAGAUGUAAAUGAGUGCACUCGACGGUCAUGAGGGUCGAACGUCCAUGCAAAGAUGGUCAGGCAAGUAGAAUUUUCGCUAUGUACGUGAGAAUUCUUCUGUUCAUUAUACAUAUUUAUCUCGGAGGAUAAGAUAGCGUUGCUUUAUAAAAAUAAAUUGUCUGUACAGCAAUCCGACUUCACGCGUAAUGAAAUUUUCUUCCUCCUCUGCUCUGCCCCACUCUCGAUGUCACGAAGCUCUUGAAACAAUUUGCUCAUCGAGGAUGACGUGCGGGUAUCUGAUAAAAUGUAUUGCUUCCUCCCGCAGCAAUAAAACAUGAAAACAAAGUCGCAA
rnacentral:lncRNA from 1 species